UUCUUCACUCGUCCUCUCUAACCUUCAGAGACCUGAAGAACCCUAGAACGCCGCCCUAAAAUCCUCACUCUCUCUGGUGGCGGCGCCACCUCUAAUCCGCCUCAAAACUACACCAUAUAACCCCUAGCCCGUCCUCUUUCCAUCACCCAAAACCACUUCCCUCGAAUCCCUCUACAUCUUUUCGAAUCUUGAAUCUAAGGUUGAAGCCCUAAACCCCAAAUCGCCUUACCCUUGAAUCUGUGGCAUGCAAGACCUAGACCUCCGAGUUUUCGAGUUUCAGAAGUCUGAUAUAACACAAAAUUAAUGAUGUUCGCUUGUUCUUGACAAAGAACAAGUGAUUAGCAUUGGUUUUUGUUAAAUCGGAGCGUCCAAUGUUGGUUUCAAGUUAAUGAGGUAAAUUUUCUUUCAUUUUUCUGUCCGUUUCUGUUGUUUCACCUCCUAUUCCUCUUCUUUUCUUCUCCUCUUCUUUAAGUAGUUUUUUUUUAUUCUGACUGGAAAUUAAUAAAGGUUCAAACCUAGGUUUUUCCCUUUGGAUUGGUUUGUGGUCGAAUUUGUUCCAUUUGUUUUCCAGUUUUCUUUUCAACUUUUAAAAGUUGUUCGUUGAUUUUGUUUGAGUUAUUCAUUUGCCUGCUUAGCUGUUAUUCAUGUCAUGUUAAGUUUCUGAUUUUUGUCCUUCUUGUUUUAGUCUUAUAGUUAGUUUAAUUAGGUUUGUUUCGACUUGGUAAUGAAGUUAAUUCUAGCUUAUUUGUUAGUUUAAAAGAAAAUCAGUCAUUUAGUUAGGUUUUGGUUUUGAAAUCAUUUAAGUUGUUUCUUCUUCUGCUUUUCACAAAUUACUAUAAUUGAUUCUGUGAUUUGGGUCAGUUUGUUGAUUGGGCUUUGAGACCAUCUUUGACCCACUUCAAGAGGCAUGUUUAAGUCUUGGGUCAAACUUGACUCAUCUCUGGUUCUAAGGGUAAAUAGCAGAAGCUUAAAGGUUAGUUUAGGGAUUUUAGUUAAGGGGAAUCUGGUGUAACUGAUUUGGAAAUUUCCUGGAAGGUGGGGAAAGGGACUGACCUAGCUAACAAGACCAAAAUUCAGGGUAAAAGCGAACAAUUUGAAAAUUAGAGAAUGGGUAAUCAGCAAAUAACAGAAACAAUUGUCCUCUAUAAGAGGCUUGUUUCCCUUCUCUUUCAAGAGAGAUUUUUUAGAGAUUAAAAAACCCAAAAGUUUCAGAAACGGCUGAGUUCUUUGAUACCCUGAAAACACUGAACACUGUCUGCAUUUUGUAGUAGAAAUCUGCUUGGUUUUGCUCCUUGUUUCAUUGUUAAUCAGAACUUUCAAAAAGCUCCAAAAACUUAUUCUAAUCUGGGUUCUAGACUAUUGAAAGAAGCUGAUUUUUGCUCGAAUUGCUGAGCUGACCUGCUGUUGCUGCUGAUUCUUCAUUCUCUUUAUUUUCCUCUUGUCUUCCAAGUAUUCUUCAAACCUUGGCCAAUACAUGAGAUGUAAGGUGCAACUGGAAUGAGGAUACAUAAUGAAGACCAUUUGUUUUAGCCGAACCUUGUUUCCCUGCCUCUUCCAGUUCUUUCAUGUUUUGUAGUAAUCUAAUCUUAUGCAUGUUAUUUUAGCUUUUCUCAUGUUAUCGAUAUGGUGUAAAUUAAAUCAAUGUUGGCUUUUGUUUGGUUCUGCUGAAAGUUUGGUGUGUUUCUUAGAUUCAAGUUAUUGGCAUGUUAAUCUCUUGGGUUUGCUACUGUUUGUACUCAGAAAAGGGUCUAGUUGAGAUUAAGUUUCAUAUGUUUAUUUAUGAGUUAGCCUGGAAUUGAAUUUAAGUAUGAACACCUGACAGUUUUAUUAUCAUUGCAAUUGAAUUCGAGAUUAUGCUGCUUUUGGGAGUGUAAUGUGAGCUAAUAGCGUUUAAAGUUUUCAAGCUGCUGUGUAUUGAUGAAAGUCCAUUAGGCUGAUUUGGUAUUUUUGAAUGUAAAAUGUCAG
rnacentral:lncRNA from 1 species